GCACAAGCACGCACGGCGAGACACCGACGACGUUUUGCAUGUCUCUGUGUCUCCGUGCUUGCGCCUUGGUGGCGGCACUUGUCCAGCUUCUCUGCGUCGCAGAUCCGUCACUCACGACCCCCUCCCUCUCUCCUUGCCUUUCCGACGCCCAUACACGGUCAGGCAACCACUUGAAAAGCACUGUUCAUUGACUCUGGUGGACGGUGCACACCGCACAUGGGUGAGAAGCCGCCGCAGCAGCAGCAGCGCCCUGAGAGCAAAGACGCUGCCGACGCUCUUGGGCGAUCUGCAGAAGCACACACACCAAAAGCACCCUCUUCAGCCGCAGCCCCGCAGCCCAGUGAAGAGAAGACGAGGGCUUGGGAAGCGGAGCAGCUCCGCGUUGGGCUGCUGGCAGAUGUACCGCGCACAGAGUACUACUACUGCCGCCACCUCAGCAACCACGGCAGCAGUACGGUGCAGUUGCAUGCGCCACGCAACGAGGGUGCAGCGCCGGAUGGGGCUUUCGUGCACCAACGCUUCGCAUUGCCGAAUUUCGAGGCUAGCUUGUUGGCACGCCCACAGACAGGCGCGACGGGCAACAGUGCAGCGCACGACGCCGGCUCGACGAUAUGCGUCCCAUCAAGCUUCAGCUCCCCCUGGGAAGCCCUGUGGUGUCAGCUCCGCUUCGACGAGGCUCGGCAAAGCGCGGCUGCCGUCGCGCAGCCACUGCCGACCCUCACGCUCGUUGGUGGCGUGGACAUCUCUUUCAUCCCCGACUCGGACGACGGUGUCGCCUGCCUCGCUAUCUUGCGCUACCCGUCCAUGGAGCAGGUCAAGACGUACAUGCACAGGUGCACGCUGCGGGAGCCGUACAUGACCGGCUUUCUUGCCUUUCGCGAGAUCCAACCGGUUUGCGAUCUCUUCGACUCUGUGCGAGUAGAGCUGCUGGCUACGCAGACGAUGCCGCAGCUGCUUAUCGUGGAUGGAAACGGGGUGCAGCAUCCCCGCCGGUGCGGGCUGGCAACGCACCUCGGUGUUGCGCUCGACAUACCGACGAUUGGGUGCUCAAAGAAGAUGCUUCAAGUGGAUGGGCUGACGCGGGAGGCAGUGGAGGCAGCGCUGGAGACGCUAGGCGAGGCAGCAUCGAGCAGCCCAUCCCUUCCUCGUCUUCUGCCCCUGCUUGGCACGUCGUCGCCAACGCAGCUCUACGGCUACGUCGUGCACAGGCACCUAAACAGCGUUAAAAAGUGCAUCUAUGUCUCUCCAGGCCACUGCAUCGGCUUUGCCGUUGCCACUGCGCUGGUAAUGACGAUGCUGCGUCACCGCAUCCCAGAGCCGAUCCGCGCCGCCGACCUCGGCUCCAGGGCUUACAUCAGCGACGCGCUCGCGUCGGCGGCCACUAACAACUCGCACCCAACCUAGUCGCGCCCACCCACCCACCCCCCACAGGUGCAGACGCCCCGUUCCGCAGAUGAUGGCGCACAGCAUCAGCCUAAGAAAGUCCGCGCAGCUUCUGAUCACGUGAGGAUCGAGGACUGCAGCGCCACUUGUCCAACUCUUUUUUGCACGCACACACACGCACGCGGUGGAAGAAGAGCCUUCGAGCCUUGGCCGCCAUUGUCCAUCAAGCUUCUCCGCCACCGAAAGCUAAGCGCCGACGUGGCAGCUCCCCUCUCAGCCAUCUCUCUCUUUGUUUUCUGUACCUUACCACCCUUGCUCUCUCUUUCCGUUUUUGAUAUUUCGCCGUUGCCGUCAG
rnacentral:misc_RNA from 1 species